CACGUUUAGAGCUUAGAUCAACCUAACAAAUUUGAUCUAUCACUAAGUCCUUGUACAUAUAUUACUUGAAGGACUUUACAAAUAAUCAUGAGCAUAUACAUUAAAACAUCAAAUCAUAAUAUGCAUUCUCCCAACAAUCUCCCCCUAUUUGAUGUUGACAUAACCAAUGAGAUUUGUUGUCAUGAUUAUUAGUGUCUAGAUGCAUUUGCAGGAAAUUUAAA
rnacentral:lncRNA from 1 species